GUGAAAACCACCAAAUUGCAUUGUUUUCUGCCUCUUCUGUUCCAGCUGGUCCAUCUCCCAUCCAAUGCAACUCCAGACCUGUAAUGACUCCAAAAAGACUAGAAAGACUCGAUAAAGACUUGAAAACCAAUUUAAAAGCAUAUAUACAAGAUGUAUAAAACACCAUAUAUCAAACGGGUGCAAAGUAAUUUUCACCACUCGUUCUCUGGAAGUGUGUGGGCGCAUGGAAGCUGGUGUUAAGAUGGUAGUCCAGUGUUUGCCACCUCAUGAUGCAUUGGAGUUGUUCAAAAAGAAAGUUGGAGAGAUCACGUUAGGAAGUCAUCCAAACAUACCAGAGCUUGCUAGAAUAGUUGCUAGAAAAUGCCAUGGCCUACCGUUAGCACUUAGUGUGAUUGGCGAAACCAUGGCAAGCAAACGGACGAUUCAAGAAUGGGAGCACGGCCAUUGAUGAUUUGACUUCGUAUGCUGCUGACUUCUCCGGCAUGGAAGAUGAGAUUCUUCUGAUUCUGAAAUUUAGUUACGAUAACCUAAAGGGUGAGCAUAUCAAAUCGUGUUUCCUAUAUUGCGCCUUAUUUCCAGAAGAUUUUAUAAUUUACAUGGGUGACUUGAUAAGUUACUGGAUUUGUGAGGUGUUCAGAGAUGAAAGCAAAGGUAUGGAAAGGGCUGAAAACAAGGCUUAUGAGAUAAUGGGUAGCCUUAUCUGUUCAUCUUUAUUGAUACAGCAUGAAGAAAGAUCGAAUUUCGUGUACCUUCAUGACGUGGUUCGUGAAAUGGCCUUGUGGAUCGCAUCUGACUUUGGAAAGCAAAAAGAUAAUUUCAUCGUGCAUGCAUGCGUUGGGUUAGAGGAAAUACCCAAGGUUCAGAACUGGAACAUUGUAAAGAGAAUGUCUUUGAUGUUUAAUAAAGAUCAAACAUGUAUCUGGCAGCCUGAAUUGUCCUUAACUCACAGCUUUGUUGCUGCAGCACAACAAGACACUGGUAAGUAUCUCAGGCAUUUUCUUCUUGAACAUGCCAAGAGUCGUUGUUUUGGAUCUAUCGGGUAAUGAAAAUCUCUGCGAGUUGCCAGACCAAGUAUCACAGUUGGUUUCACUGAAACUUCUAACCUUGUACAAGUCAGCUAUACAAUGUCUGCCUGUUGGCUUAAGAGAGUUGAAAAACUAAUUCAUUUGAAUUUGGAAAGCACAUGGAAACUUUCGAGUGUUGGGGGAUAUCGGCACUACUGAAUCUGAGAGUAGUGAAAUUACUGAAUUCGAAAGUUUCAAACAAUCGCAACACUGUGGAAGAGUUGCGAGUCUUUGAACAUUUAGAAGUUGUAACCAUAAGUAUCGGUUAUGAUUCAGGUCUGGAUCAAUUUUUAAGCUCUCACAACCAGAUGCGUUGUACACGAUCUCUAGGGGUAGAAGGUUUGCAAUUGGAUUCGUCAAAGGUGUUGGUUUUAGCAAGUAUGAAGAAAAUUUCUGAAGUCAGACUCAACGGAUGCACUUUUUGUGAGAAAAAGAUGGAUAGUGCAACAAUCAUCGGAAGCAAUAAGAUGGUUCCUCCAAAUGCAUGCUUUUUGAGCCUGUCUAGGAUUUAUCUAAAGUAUAGCAAAUUCCUUAAAGAUUUGACGUGGCUGAUGUUCGCUCCAAAUCUCGCGGAACUUUCAGUUCAUGGGGGAGAUGAACUAGAAGACGUAAUACAAAAGGAGGAGGCUUUAGUAUCUUAAGAAUCAGGGGUUGUUCCUUUCCAAACACUAGCCUUUCUAGAAUUGAUUGAUUUGCUGGAGCUGAAGGACAUCUACUGGAGACCUCUGCUCUUUCCUUGUCUUGCGGAAAUCAAUAUAACGAGAUGCCCAAAACUGAGAAAGCUUCCACUUAAUUCUAAAAGCGGUGGAAAAGGACUGUCAUAUACUACAAAGGUAGAGAAUGGUUAGAAAAUGUUGAAUGGGAAGACGAAGCCACCGAAGCCCGUUUCCUGCCUUCAUACAUUGAGGAUACAAUCUAGUCGGACUCAGUACAAUGGCUCGUGAGGUAGGCGGAUUUGCAGUUCCUAUUGUCGUUUUUCCAUAUCGAAGAUUUUAGAUUAUGGGUUGUCUGCUCAGUUAUCAGGAGGAUCAGCAGGAGAAGCUCUGUCUAUGGUGUUGACAAGUACCGUUCGUUGUCUCCUUCUGAUCUUGACGCCUAAGAUGAAAUUUCUGUCUUCCUUGUAUCAACUCAUGUCUGUUCGUGCUGGAUUUACUUGUUCAUGGUGUUAUUUUUCUUUUAGAAUUUUAUUGGUUUUGGGAACUGAUAUAGUUCGUUAUGACUACAAAGAUGAAGCCUAUAGCUGCUUCCUCUGGUUAUUCUGUUAUAUCUGGUUGGCUUGACUGGUACGCAAAAUUGAAGAUCUUAAGUCGUGUUUGAUUUGUAUGCAAAGUUACCUAUUCUCCCAUA